CCAAUAGCGUAUAUUAAAGUUGCUGCAGUUAAAAAGCUCGUAGUUGAAUUUCGGGACCAAUAUGUCGGUCGUGCCUCGGUACGUACUGGCAUCGUUGGUUUCUCCCUUCUGAAGAACCAUGAUGUCAUUUAUUUGGUGUCGUGGGGAAUCAGGACUGUUACUUUGAAAAAAUUAGAGUGUUUAAAGCAGGCUCACGCUUGAAUACAUUAGCAUGGAAUAA
rnacentral:rRNA from 1 species